rnacentral:rRNA from 1 species
CCUACGGGAGGCAGCAGUCGAGAAUCAUUCACAAUGGGGGAAACCCUGAUGGUGCGACGCCGCGUGGGGGAAUGAAGGUCUUCGGAUUGUAAACCCCUGUGAUGUGGGAGCAAAUUAAAAAGAUAGUACCACAAGAGGAAGAGACGGCUAACUCUGUGCCAGCAGCCGCGGUAAUACAGAGGUCUCAAGCGUUGUUCGGAAUCACUGGGCGUAAAGGGUGCGUAGGCUGUUUCGUAAGUCGUGUGUGAAAGGCGCGGGCUUAACCUGCGGACGGCACAUGAUACUGGGAGACUAGAGUAAUGGAGGGGGAACCGGAAUGCUCGGUGUAGCAGUGAAAUGCGUAGAUAUGGAGAGGAACACUCGUGGCGAAGGCGGGUUCCUGGACAUUAACUGACGCUGAGGCACGAAGGCCAGGGGAGCGAAAGGGAUUAGAUACCCUUGUAGUC